GUGAAGAUCUUAAGGAAGGAAAGAGCUUAGUGCGUCUGAGAAGUUAAAGAAGGCCAGUGUGGCUGGAACACAAGGCGAGGAGAAGAGCCGUGACAGAUGGGACUGGGCCCCAUCACGCAGUCUCUAGGCCAUAUUAAAUUACUUUAUUUUUUUCUAAGUGAAUGGGAAGUCAUUGGAGGGUUUUUAAUAAGAGUGUGGAGUGGCCAGGUUUACAUUUUUACAAGACUGUUCUGGCUAUUGUACUGAAAAUGGAUGGAGCAAGGCGUACCUGGGAGAUACUGCAGGUUCGGUUCCAGACCACCGCCAUAAAGUGAAUGUCGCAAUAAAAAACAAUAUACACCGCGAAAUGUAAAUCAGUGAGGAGGCUGGGCUAAGUUUCCAGAGGCAACGGGAAACGGUGGCCUGUCUGGGGGCACUCCAGGGACCCGAGUCAUCAGCCAUCAACUGAAAGGGGCACCCGUGUGAAUCCCGCUGAAUCAAGCCGUGGAGGGACUGAUCCUUCUUAGACAAGGGCUGUCUACAGGAGCUCUCUAGAAUCCUGAGCUUGACAAAGUUCAGUUAGUUCAAGCCUAAAAGGAUUCAAAUAUGUAAAACAUUGGUUCACUUGCUUUCAAAAUAGAGGUUCCAUUAUGUUUGGAACAAGUGUGAUUUUCGUUUUAUAUUUUAAAGAUCAUGCACUGAGGAUACAUGAACUAAAAGGACCGAUUUGAAACUUUGUCAGAAUGUCAAGAUUCUAAUUUCAAAGAGUAUUAUUGCCAGGACAUGACUGAUUGCGUUUCUGAGAAGUUCUAUUCAUGGCUAGCAAUAAUUAAUAAGGUUGGCUUUGUCAUUCAUCUCCUCGGGUAUCCCAUGGUACUCCCAGCUGAGCUGGGGCUCUCCUCAUCGUUCACAAGUGUGUAGACACCUUUUAGGUCAGAGCCUCCCGCCUCUUUAGUGGUGAGGAACUUCUGGCCUGGGCAAUCAGAGUGAGGACAGGACCUGCAGGGCGUGAGGAGGGCCGGUGCCCUCAAGCUACCACCUUCCUAUACGAUUGGGUGCGACCAGAAGGGGUCGGCAGACUCUCACAUGGAGAGGAGGUGUAACAUGCUCAGCGCUCCAAGUGAAUGAUAAACUGGAGCAGCCCGAGGGAUCACUGACGUGACAGGAGAGCUCAGGGGCCAGGACAGGCCUCAGGGGAGGCCUGAACCUUACGAUGCAAAGUUCAACCCAAGUUAGUAUAAGUUCCUGAAUUGAUGCAGCUGGUUUUUGUUUAUUUUUUGAGCUCAAGUGCAGAAUGGUGGAGACGUAGUUAAACGGAAGCAUGUGUGAGAAAGGCCUAAUAAAUUAUAAACUUAAUUUAAGCCAACAUGUAUGAAGCUUCCAAAAUUGCUAAUUUGGUCUUAGGCUGUAUGAAUAGAAAUAGAAUGCUAGCGGAAUAGGGAAUUCAGAGCCACCACAAACAUGGCAGGGCUGCCCAAGUGUUCCCCACAGCUCAUGGGCCGGGUCCUGGGGCAGGCCUGCUGUCACCCUGGGGUAAGUCCCUUCCUCAUGUCUUUCUUUCCUUCCUUCUUCCAACCUACCAAUAUGGGGGACAGAGUGAGAGAGAGUACGUUUAUUCUAGAGUCUAAAAGAGCAAGAAUUUGCAGAAGCUCCAUGGGGGGCAGGGAUCUUGAUGGAGAAUAGGGGGUGAGAAACAUUUAGAGUCAAAGAGUUCUUUUAACAACGCCUUUUCCUUGAGGUGUGGUUUAAAUGCUGUCCUGCCUGGAAGCAGGGAAAUGGAUUAAAUGGGCUUUGGUUUCCUUUUGAUUCCCCCAAAUUGUACAUAAUUACCAUCGUUUGCAGUGCUAGGCAGGUGUUGCGAGUUCGUAGCCAGGAAAAAAAAAAGACAUUAUAGAGAUUUUUGUUUUGAAAAUGUCUUUCUCUACCCAAUUAUGCAAUUUUUCAUUAGCCAUGUGCCACUACGAAUUAUAUGACAAUUAAGGAUAAUGAACUCACUCACAUGUACAUUAUUAAUCAAAACUAAAUAAGGAACUCCUUUUUUUUUUCUGUUCUGAGAUAUUUAGCACAAUAGUCAAGCAGCAAUGACAACCCUAUCCUCCCCAGUACUAACCUCCCAAAUGACAAAUAUUUAUAAAUCUUCUCUAGAAAAAGCACGCUGCUGCAGAGAUGUGGUGUAAUUACUGGACUAUUUUGGUUGUCAGGAAACUGAGACACAGAUAUUUGUGCCAUUAAUGAUUUACUACCCAGACCAUACGACAAGGGGAAAUUACUAUAACAUAGCAGGCAGCCAGCUGUAUCUGUUAUAUAAGUCUUUCAGAUCUGUAAACAUAACCCUAUGUUUUGUUUUUUUAUAAACAAAUGAAGUUUCUUCAAUCUAUUUCAACAUUAGCUUUCAAUAUUCCAAAAUGAGUAGCUAAUGUGUUUAAGUCUAACCUCAAUGGCACAAUUCUUAUUUGCCUGCUAACUAAAAACUGACAGCUUAACAUUUGGAGGAGUAGAUGAGAAAGAACCACUCACUUUGGGUAAGUGUCUUCUACAUGCAUAGUAUUGUGUUGGGAAUAAGUAAUGUGCGAUUCCUGCCUUAAGGGGGAAAAUAGACUGACACACGUGUGAACUAUUCACAGACCAAUUAGGAGUUAAAGUGUACAGUACUCCUUAUAACCUUCACUUAACAAACACAGACUGAACUCUCAGAGACAGGCAUAAACCAAGAGCAGCCACUCACUGAUGACUCACCACGACCAGCACUGCACUGAUGCUGAGAGGGACAUAAGGCAAACACUGACAGGCGUAAAUUCUUGCUCUUGAUAGGCUAAUGUUACUAACCAGAAGCCAGGACUAAGACUCAUCACACACGUAUGGAAGGAUCCCUGGAGCCUGAAGGUGAUCAAACAGCGUGUACCUUAGAGCAACAUACAGAUUAGGACCCCUUAUAUUGUGAGGAGGGGGCCAUCCAAGGGCUACAACUGUGUGAGGCAAAGAACACACACUCUAUUUGGAGUGAAGAAGCGUGGUGUCAGAUGGCAGUGCUCAGCUUCUUAUAGGUGAGCCUCAGCUUCUUAACCCCUCAAGUGCUCUACCUUCCUUGGAAAGUGUUGUGAGGAUCGAAGGAAGCGUAAGUUAAUCACUGUGUCCUGUGCUCAAUUUAGAAGGAGAAAAUUGAGGUUUAGAAACCUGAGCUGGAUAACUUGCUCAAGAUUAGAUGGUUCUUGGUUGAGCUUUCUAGUAUACUGAUUUCUGGACUCCUGGUCCUGUGCCCUCACAAAUAAUUAUGUAGUCUUCUCUGGAGCUAUGACUGUGCCAUGCAGAGCAACUGCAGACUAUCAUUUUAUUUGAUGAAGUCCUAUGCUAGGAUUGCGGUAGCGUGAAUGCAUGAGAAGAGAGUGGUCACAAUCAACAGUCAAAGUCCCCAAUGUUGAUUGUUGAUGUGUUCCCCAAAACAUUUGUCACAAAACAAGUGAAUUUCGAGGCCAGCCCGGUCGUGUAGUGGUUAAGUUUGCGUGCUCCAAUUUGGUGGCCCAGGGUUCACAGGUUCGGAUCCCUGGCAUGGACCUACACACACCACUUAUCAAGACAUAAAAUAGAGGAAGAUUGGCAACAGAUGUUAGCUCAGGGCCAAUUUUCCUCAUUAAAAAAAAACCCAAAAAAACCCACAAGUGAAUCUCCUAGAGACAAAACCUACCAUUCUGGUUUCAGGUAACAAAACCAACUCUCCCGCUCUCUCCCUCUUUGCUUGUACUAUGACCUUAAAACACCAGGCAUUCAAAUGAAAAUGGAAACAUUUAGUUAACUAUUUGGAUAUUUGAAUUAACUUUUAGCUGAUGAGAAAAGGCCCAGGUGAAGCCAACACAUUUUUGAUAUAUAACUAAUUCCAAUUAAAGCUUGUAAAUGAGAAUAUUUGACAUAUGAAUAAAAAUGCCUAAAGAUUCUGUCAUUCCUAAUUUGCCUCUUAGUACAUUCCAAAGUACAUUUUGAGGGGUUAUU